UACGGAGGGUGCGAGCGUUGUCCGGAAUCACUGGGCGUAAAGGGCGCGUAGGUGGUGGCUUAAGCGUGCGGUGAAAGCUCGGGGCUCAACUCCGAGUCGGCCGUGCGAACUGGGCUCACUGGAGCAUAGUAGAGGCAGGUGGAAUUCCGGGUGUAGCGGUGGAAUGCGUAGAGAUCCGGAAGAACACCGGUGGCGAAGGCGGUUCUCUGGGCAUGGUCCUGACGCUGAGGAGCGAAAGUGUGGGGAGCGAACAGG
rnacentral:rRNA from 1 species